rnacentral:rRNA from 1 species
CCUAACACAUGCAAGUCGAACGCCGUAGCAAUACGGAGUGGCAGACGGGUGAGUAACACGUGGGAACAUACCCUUUGGUUCGGAAUAACUCAGGGAAACUUGAGCUAAUACCGGAUAAGCGCUUAGGCGGAAAGAUUUAUCGCCGAAGGAUUGGCCCGCGUCCGAUUAGCUAGUUGGUGAGGUAACGGCUCACCAAGGCGACGAUCGGUAGCUGGUCUGAGAGGAUGAUCAGCCACAUUGGGACUGAGACACGGCCCAAACUCCUACGGGAGGCAGCAGUGGGGAAUAUUGGACAAUGGGCGCAAGCCUGAUCCAGCCAUGCCGCGUGAGUGAUGAAGGCCCUAGGGUUGUAAAGCUCUUUUGUGUGGGAAGAUAAUGACUGUACCACAAGAAUAAGCCCCGGCUAACUUCGUGCCAGCAGCCGCGGUAAUACGAAGGGGGCUAGCGUUGUUCGGAUUUACUGGGCGUAAAGCGCACGUAGGCGGAUCUUUAAGUCAGAGGUGAAAUCCCGGAGCUCAACUUCGGAACUGCCUUUGAUACUGGGGAUCUCGAGUUCGGGAGAGGUGAGUGGAACUGCGAGUGUAGAGGUGAAAUUCGUAGAUAUUCGCAAGAACACCAGUGGCGAAGGCGGCUCACUGGC